rnacentral:rRNA from 1 species
UACGGAGGGGGCUAGCGUUGUUCGGAAUUACUGGGCGUAAAGCGCACGUAGGCGGCUUUGUAAGUUAGAGGUGAAAGCCCAGGGCUCAACCUCGGAAUUGCCUUUAAGACUGCAUCGCUAGAAUUGUGGAGAGGUAAGUGGAAUUCCGAGUGUAGAGGUGAAAUUCGUAGAUAUUCGGAAGAACACCAGUGGCGAAGGCGACUUACUGGACACAUAUUGACGCUGAGGUGCGAAAGCGUGGGGAGCAAACAGG